UAUCUUCUGCGGUGUUUGUUAUUCGGCUGGGUAUAUCCCUUGAGCCUAAUUUCUCACCCCGGGGAUGGUUCGGUCACUGUUGUUGUGCAUGUCCGCUACGGCGGAAAGCCUGAUACGGUUCCGGCCGUCCCCACCUGAACCGCUUGGUUCAAGGUAGCACACCAAAAACGGCACCGUGGUUGAUAC
rnacentral:other from 1 species